UCCAGACUCCUACGGGAGGCAGCAGUGGGGAAUAUUGCACAAUGGGGGAAACCCUGAUGCAGCGACGCCGCGUGAGUGAAGAAGUAUUUCGGUAUGUAAAGCUCUAUCAGCAGGGAAGAAGAAGGACGGUACCUGACUAAGAAGCCCCGGCUAACUACGUGCCAGCAGCCGCGGUAAUACGUAGGGGGCAAGCGUUAUCCGGAUUUACUGGGUGUAAAGGGAGCGUAGACGGCGAUGCAAGCCAGAUGUGAAAGCCCGGGGCUCAACCCCGGGACUGCAUUUGGAACUGUGUGGCUGGAGUGUCGGAGAGGCAGGCGGAAUUCCUAGUGUAGCGGUGAAAUGCGUAGAUAUUAGGAGGAACACCAGUGGCGAAGGCGGCCUGCUGGACGAUGACUGACGUUGAGGCUCGAAAGCGUGGGGAGCAAACAGGAUUAGAUACCCCAGUAC
rnacentral:rRNA from 1 species